rnacentral:rRNA from 1 species
UAUCUCUGUAGAGUCUGCAUAUCAAUAAGCGGAGGAAAAGAAACUAACUAGGAUUCCCUCAGUAACGGCGAGUGAAGCGGGAAGAGCUCAAAUUUGAAAUCUUCAAGGUUUUACCUUGACGAAUUGUAGUUUAAAGAAGUGUUUUCUGUUGGUGUUUUGGUAAAAGUUCUUUGGAAUAGGACAUCAUAGAGGGUGAGAAUCCCGUAUUUGACCAUUACUUUCCAGCUUUGUGAUACACUUUCAAAGAGUCGGAUUGUUUGGGAAUGCAGUCCAAAAUGGGUGGUAAAUUUCAUCUAAAGCUAAAUAUUGGCGAGAGACCGAUAGCGAACAAGUACCGUGAGGGAAGGAUGAAAAGAACUUUGAAAAGAGAGUUAAACAGUACGUGAAAUUGUCAAAAGGGAAGCGUUUGACACCAGUGUUGUUUUCUCGAAAAUCAAUUAAAAAAGGCAGGAUUUUGUGUUGUAUUGACUUUAUCAGCUUUCUGCACUCUCUUCUUGUCUUUUUUAAUGCACUUUUCGUUUAACAAGUCAACAUCAAUUUCUUUUGUUGUAAAAGGGUCAUUGGAAGGUGGCUUUCUUUUCGGAGAAAGUGUUUAUAGCCUUUGGCCUCUGCAAUCGGAGAGAUUGAGGUCUGCAGCGUAGAUCCUUCGGGGUUAGAUACAUUUGUGCUAAGUUAUAGCCUUUCAUAGACAACUUGUUGACUAUGAUCAGUCAUGUAGCUUACUCGCUUAUGCUAUUUUACCUACGCUUAGGAUGUUGACGAUCAGCUGAGCGCG